ensembl:snRNA U6 U6 spliceosomal RNA
GUGCUCGCUUCGGCAGCCCAUAGACUGAUAUUGAAAUGAUACAGAAGAUUAUCAUGGCCCCUGUGCAAGAUGACACACAAAUUUGUGAAGUGUUCUGUAUUUUU